rnacentral:rRNA from 1 species
ACGCUCGACACCUACGGGAGACAGCAGUAGGGAAUCUUCCACAAUGGGCGCAAGCCUGAUGGAGCAACACCGCGUGAGUGAAGAAGGGUUUCGGCUCGUAAAGCUCUGUUGUUGGAGAAGAACGUGCGUGAGAGUAACUGUUCACGCAGUGACGGUAUCCAACCAGAAAGUCACGGCUAACUACGUGCCAGUAGCCGCGGUAAUCUGAGCGGGCUGGCAAGGC